rnacentral:rRNA from 1 species
UAGGGAAUCUUCCACAAUGGACGCAAGUCUGAUGGAGCAACGCCGCGUGAGUGAAGAAGGUCUUCGGAUCGUAAAGCUCUGUUGUUGGUGAAGAAGGAUAGAGGCAGUAACUGGUCUUUAUUUGACGGUAAUCAACCAGAAAGUCACGGCUAACUACGUGCCAGCAGCCGCGGUAAUACGUAGGUGGCAAGCGUUGUCCGGAUUUAUUGGGCGUAAAGCGAGCGCAGGCGGAAUGAUAAGUCUGAUGUGAAAGCCCACGGCUCAACCGUGGAACUGCAUCGGAAACUGUCAUUCUUGAGUGCAGAAGAGGAGAGUGGAACUCCAUGUGUAGCGGUGGAAUGCGUAGAUAUAUGGAAGAACACCAGUGGCGAAGGCGGCUCUCUGGUCUGCAACUGACGCUGAGGCUCGAAAGCAUGGGUAGCGAACAGGAUUAGAUACCCUGGUAGUCCAUGCCGUAAACGAUGAGCGCUAGGUGUUGGG